rnacentral:rRNA from 1 species
AUUGAACGCUGGCGGCAUGCUUUACACAUGCAAGUCGAACGGCAGCGCGGGGCAACCUGGCGGCGAGUGGCGAACGGGUGAGUAAUACAUCGGAACGUACCCAGAAGUGGGGGAUAACGUAGCGAAAGUUACGCUAAUACCGCAUACGUUCUACGGAAGAAAGUGGGGGACCUUCGGGCCUCAUGCUUUUGGAGCGGCCGAUGUCUGAUUAGCUAGUUGGUGAGGUAAAGGCUCACCAAGGCGACGAUCAGUAGCUGGUCUGAGAGGACGACCAGCCACACUGGGACUGAGACACGGCCCAGACUCCUACGGGAGGCAGCAGUGGGGAAUUUUGGACAAUGGGCGCAAGCCUGAUCCAGCAAUGCCGCGUGAGUGAAGAAGGCCUUCGGGUUGUAAAGCUCUUUUGUCAGGGAAGAAACGGCUGAGGAUAAUACCUUCGGCUAAUGACGGUACCUCAAGAAUAAGCACCGGCUAACUACGUG